ensembl:snRNA U1 U1 spliceosomal RNA
AUACUUACCUGGCAGGGGAGAUACCAUGAUCACGAAGGUGGUUUCCCAGGGCGAGGCUUAUCCAUGGCACCCCGGAUGUGCUGACCCCUGCGAUUUCUCCAAAUGUGGGAAACUUGACUGCAUAAUUUGUGGUAGUGGGGGACUGCGUUCGCGCUUUCCCCUA